rnacentral:rRNA from 1 species
AUUGAACGCUGGCGGCAGGCCUAACACAUGCAAGUCGAGCGGAUGAACGCUGCUUUCUCCUGGAUUCCGCGUCGGACGGGUGAGUAAUGCCUAUGAAUCUCCCUGGUUGUGGGGGAUAACGUCCGCAAGCGGGCGCUACUACCGCAUGCGUCCUGCUGGUGCAACUUGGGGAUCUUCGGACCUCACGCUAUCAUAUGAGCCUAGGUCGGAUUAGAUAGUUGGUGGGGUAAAGGCCUACCUAGGCGACGAUCCGUAACUGGUCUGAGAGGAUGAUCAGUCACACUGGAACUGAGACACGGUCAAGACUCCUAAGGGAGGCAGCAGUGGGGAAUAUUGGACAAUGGGCGAAAGCAUGAUCCAGCCAGGCCGCGUGUGUGAAGAAGGUGUUCGGAUUGUAAAGCACGUUAAGUGGGGAGGAAGGGCAGUAAGUUAAUACCUUGCUGGUUUGACGGUACCAACAGAAUAAGCACCGGCUAACUACGUG